rnacentral:rRNA from 1 species
AUACGGAAGGUCCGGGCGUUAUCCGGAUUUAUUGGGUUUAAAGGGAGCGCAGGCGGAGAUGCAAGCGUGACGUCAAAUUUCGGGGCUCAACCCCGUCUCGCGUCGCGAACUGCGUCCCUUGGUUGCGGGAAGGGGAGGCGGAACUCGUGGUGUAGCGGUGAAAUGCAUAGAUAUCACGAAGAACUCCGAUCGCGAAGGCAGCCUUCCGGCCCGUCAACGACGCUCAUGCUCGAAGGUGCGGGUAUCAAGCAGGAUUAGAUACCCUGGUAGUCCGCACAGUAAACGAUGGACACCCGCGGUUUGGCCUGUAUGGCUGAGCCGCCAAGCGAAAGCGUUAAGUGUCCCACCUGGGGAGUACGCCGGCAACGGUGAAACUCAAAGGAA